UCAAACAUUGGUUCCCAUAUGAUCACCAAAGUUAAGCAACAUUGAGCCUGGUCAGUAUCUAGAUAGGUAACCACUUGGGAAUACCAGGUGCUGUAU